UACGAAGGGGGCUAGCGUUGCUCGGAAUCACUGGGCGUAAAGCGUACGUAGGCGGAUCUUUAAGUCAGGGGUGAAAUCCCAAGGCUCAACCUUGGAACUGCCUUUGAUACUGGGGAUCUCGAGUCCGGAAGAGGUGAGUGGAACUGCGAGUGUAGAGGUGAAAUUCGUAGAUAUUCGGAGGAACACCAGUGGCGAAGGCGGCUCACUGGUCCAUUACUGACGCUGAGGUGCGAAAGCGUGGGGAGCAAACAGG
rnacentral:rRNA from 1 species